UGAAAGCUAUGACGAGUCUUGAAAAUUAUAUUAGCAUGUCAGACUUGGAAGAUGUUGUGGCAUUAACGAGAAUAUGUUUCAUCUGAGCAAUGA
rfam:Zea mays cultivar B73 chromosome 2, whole genome shotgun sequence.